UAGGGAAUCUUCCACAAUGGACGCAAGUCUGAUGGAGCAACGCCGCGUGAGUGAAGAAGGUCUUCGGAUCGUAAAGCUCUGUUGUUGGUGAAGAAGGAUAGAGGCAGUAACUGGUCUUUAUUUGACGGUAAUCAACCAGAAAGUCACGGCUAACUACGUGCCAGCAGCCGCGGUAAUACGUAGGUGGCAAGCGUUGUCCGGAUUUAUUGGGCGUAAAGCGAGCGCAGGCGGAGUGAUAAGUCUGAUGUGAAAGCCCACGGCUCAACCGUGGAACUGCAUCGGAAACUGUCAUUCUUGAGUGCAGAAGAGGAGAGUGGAACUCCAUGUGUAGCGGUGGAAUGCGUAGAUAUAUGGAAGAACACCAGUGGCGAAGGCGGCUCUCUGGUCUGCAACUGACGCUGAGGCUCGAAAGCAUGGGUAGCGAACAGGAUUAGAUACCCUGGUAGUCCAUGCCGUAAACGAUGAGCGCUAGGUGUUGGGGACUUUCCGGUCCUCAGUGCCGCAGCAAACGCAUUAA
rnacentral:rRNA from 1 species